rnacentral:rRNA from 1 species
GACGAACGCUGGCGGCGUGCUUAAUACAUGCAAGUCAACUUGACUUUAGAUAGCAAUAUCGAAAAGUAGGGUGGCGCACGGGUGCGUAACGCGUAGGUAAUCUGCCCUGAGGUCUGACAUAACCCGUCGAAAGGCGGGCUAACAUCAGAUGAUAUAUAAUCACGACAUCGUGGAAAUAUCAAAUCUUCGGAGCCUUGGGAUGAGCCUGCGUCUGAUUAGGUAGUUGGCGGAGUAAUAGCCCACCAAGCCUACGAUCAGUAGCUGGUCUGAGAGGAUGAUCAGCCACACUGGAACUGAGACACGGUCCAGACUCCUACGGGAGCAGCAGUAAGGAAUAUUGCUCAAUGGGGGAAACCCUGAAGCAGCAACGCCGCGUGAAGGAUGAAAUACUUUUGUAUGUAAACUUCUGUAAGAUGGGAAAAAUAUUCUCCUCGGGAGAAUUGAUUGUACCAUCAGAGUAAGCCCCGGCUAACUACGUGCCAGCA